AGCGAACGCUGGCGGCAGGCCUAACACAUGCAAGUCGAACGAACUCUUCGGAGUUUGUGGCGGACGGGUGAGUAACACGUGGGAACGUGCCCUUUGGUUCGGAAUAACUCAGGGAAACUUGUGCUAAUACCGAAUGUGCCCUUCGGGGGAAAGAUUUAUCGCCAUUAGAGCGGCCCGCGUCUGAUUAGCUAGUUGGUGAGGUAACGGCUCACCAAGGCGACGAUCAGUAGCUGGUCUGAGAGGAUGACCAGCCACACUGGGACUGAGACACGGCCCAGACUCCUACGCGAGGCAGCAGUGGGGAAUCUUGCGCAAUGGGCGAAAGCCUGACGCAGCCAUGACGCGUGAAUGAUGAAGGUCUUAGGAUUGUAAAAUUCUUUCAACGGGGACGAUAAUGACGGUACCCGGAGAAGAAGCCCCGGCUAACUUCGUG
rnacentral:rRNA from 1 species